rnacentral:rRNA from 1 species
UACGUAGGGUGCAAGCGUUGUCCGGAAUUAUUGGGCGUAAAGAGCUCGUAGGCGGUCUGUCGCGUCGGCUGUGAAAACCCGGAGCUCAACUCCGGGCCUGCAGUCGAUGCGGGCAGACUGGAGUUCGGCAGGGGAGACUGGAAUUCCUGGUGUAGCGGUGAAAUGCGCAGAUAUCAGGAGGAACACCAAUGGCGAAGGCAGCUCGCUGGGACGUUACUGACGCUGAGACGCGAAAGCGUGGGGAGCAAACAGG